rnacentral:rRNA from 1 species
AUUGAACGCUGGCGGCAGGCUUAACACAUGCAAGUCGAACGAGUGGCGGACGGGUGAGUAAUGUAUGGGAAUCUGGCAGAUGGAGGGGGAUAACUACUGGAAACUGUCGCUAAUACCGCAUACCAUAGGAUGAGCCCAUAGGGGAUUAGGUAGUUGGUGGGGUAAAGGCGCACCAAGGCGACGAUCUCUAGCUGGUCUGAGAGGAUGACCAGCAAGACCGGGACGGAGAAACGGCCCGGACUCCUACGGGAGGAAGAAGUGGGGAAUUUUGCGCAAGGGGGGAAACCCUGAGACAGCCAUGCCGCGUGAAUGAGGAAGGCCUUCGGGUUGUAAAGUUCUUUCGGUGACGAGGCGUUAUUCACAGAAGAAGCACCGGCUAACUACGUGCCAGCAGCCGCGGUAAUUC